GAUGAACGCUGGCGGCGUGCCUAAUACAUGCAAGUCGAGCGAACGGACGAGAAGCUUGCUUCUCUGAUGUUAGCGGCGGACGGGUGAGUAACACGUGGAUAACCUACCUAUAAGACUGGGAUAACUUCGGGAAACCGGAGCUAAUACCGGAUAAUAUUUUGAACCGCAUGGUUCAAAAGUGAAAGACGGUCUUGCUGUCACUUAUAGAUGAAUCCGCGCUGCAUUAGCUAGUUGGUAAGGUAACGGCUUACCAAGGCAACGAUGCAUAGCCGACCUGAGAGGGUGAUCGGCCACACUGGAACUGAGACACGGUCCAGACUCCUACGGGAGGCAGCAGUAGGGAAUCUUCCGCAAUGGGCGAAAGCCUGACGGAGCAACGCCGCGUGAGUGAUGAAGGUCUUCGGAUCGUAAAACUCUGUUAUUAGGGAAGAACAUAUGUGUAAGUAACUGUGCACAUCUUGACGGUACCUAAUCAAAAAGCCACGGCUAACUACGUG
rnacentral:rRNA from 1 species